rnacentral:rRNA from 1 species
UACGUAGGGUGCAAGCGUUAAUCGGAAUUACUGGGCGUAAAGCGCACGUAGGCGGCUUUCUAAGUCGGGGGUGAAAUCCUGGAGCUCAACUCCAGAACUGCCUUCGAUACUGGAGAGCUUGAGUCCGGGAGAGGUGAGUGGAACUGCGAGUGUAGAGGUGGAAUUCGUAGAUAUUAGGAAGAACACCAGUGGCGAAGGCGGCUCACUGGUCCGGUACUGACGCUGAGGUGCGAAAGCGUGGGGAGCAAACAGG